UGAAACACUGGUUCUCAAAUGAUAACCAAAGUUAAGCAACAUCGAGCUGGUUCAGUACUUGGAUGGGUGACCACUUGAAAAUAUCAGGUGCUGUAA